rnacentral:lncRNA from 1 species
GCCAGGGCCCUGGGGUAGGGAAUCAUAUUCAUUUUCAUUCUUCUUCUUCUUUGAGAGAGAGAGGGCAUAUGUGUUAUGUAGCUCAGACUGGCUUUAAACUCCACCUCUUCCCGCCUCUCCCUGCCUGCACUGGGAUUGCAGCAUGGGCCACUACGGCCAGAUUGGGUGGGCUUUCUGCUCAGUCCAGAGUUUGGGGAAGGGGCACCUGCUGCCCCCUGUUCUCUGGUUCCAGACUAAGGCUGUCACUGGGAAUCGAUUGAGGAGCAGGUGUAGGGGUUUGCAAGGUGCUGGCGUCUCCUAUUGGCUGCUGCCUCUUCUGCAGGUGACGCCUCUGCUCCAAGAUGGCUUUCUCUAACAGGGACAAAUCCAUCCCCUCCACACAGGUGAGCAGUCGGGCCCUCACCACAAAAGCUCCACCAAGUUGGUGCAGACAAGCAGUUGACACUGAUCAGGUUUCUGCGGAGCUGCCAGGGUCAUGAGGGAGCGUGCCAUGUCAUAGAGAUACAACCUGGA